rnacentral:rRNA from 1 species
UUAAGUGAAUAAGGGCGCACGGUGGAUGCCUUGGCACUAGGAGCCGAUGAAGGACGGGACUAACACCGAUAUGCUUUGGGGAGCUGUACGUAAGCUAUGAUCCAGAGAUUUCCGAAUGGGGGAACCCAACAUCUUUAAUAGGAUGUUACGAUUGUGUGAAUACAUAGCACAUUCGAGGUAGACGCAGAGAACUGAAACAUCUAAGUACCUGCAGGAAGAGAAAGAAAAUUCGAUUCCCUGAGUAGCGGCGAGCGAAACGGGAAAAGCCCAAACCAGCAAGCUUGCUUGUUGGGGUUGUAGGACUCCAAUAUGGUAGUUCUUUCAGAUAGUCGAAUGACUUGGAAAAGUCAGUCAAAGAGGGUAAAAACCCCGUAGACGAAAUGUGGAAGACACCUAGGAGGAUCCUGAGUACGGCGGAACACGAGAAAUUCCGUCGGAAUCCGGGAGGACCAUCUCCCAAGGCUAAAUACUCCCUAGUGACCGAUAGUGAACCAGUACCGUGAGGGAAAGGUGAAAAGCACCCCGGAAGGGGAGUGAAAUAGAACCUGAAACCGUGUGCCUACAACAAGUCAAAGCCCGUUAAUGGGUGAUGGCGUGCCUUUUGUAGAAUGAACCGGCGAGUUACGAUUGCAUGCGAGGUUAAGUUGAAGAGACGGAGCCGCAGCGAAAGCGAGUCUGAAUAGGGCGUUUGAGUAUGUAGUCGUAGACCCGAAACCAUGUGAUCUACCCAUGUCCAGGUUGAAGGUGCGGUAAAACGCACUGGAGGACCGAACCCACGUACGUUGAAAAGUGCGGGGAUGAGGUGUGGGUAGCGGAGAAAUUCCAAACGAACUUGGAGAUAGCUGGUUCUCUCCGAAAUAGCUUUAGGGCUAGCCUCGGAAUUGAGAAUGAUGGAGGUAGAGCACUGUUUGGACUAGGGGCCCAUCUCGGGUUACCGAAUUCAGAUAAACUCCGAAUGCCAUUCAUUCAUAUCCGGGAGUCAGACUGUGAGUGAUAAGAUCCAUAGUCGAAAGGGAAACAGCCCAGACCACCAGCUAAGGUCCCAAAAUAUAUGUUAAGUGGAAAAGGAUGUGGGGUUGCACAGACAACUAGGAUGUUGGCUUAGAAGCAGCCACCAUUUAAAGAGUGCGUAAUAGCUCACUAGUCGAGUGACCCUGCGCCGAAAAUGUACCGGGGCUAAACAUAUUACCGAAGCUGUGGAGUACACCUUUAGGUGUAUUGGUAGGAGAGCGUUCUAAGGGCGUUGAAGGCAGAUCGUGAGGACUGCUGGAGCGCUUAGAAGUGAGAAUGCCGGUAUGAGUAGCGAAAGACAGGUGAGAAUCCUGUCCACCGAAUGACUAAGGUUUCCUGAGGAAGGCUCGUCCGCCCAGGGUUAGUCGGGACCUAAGCCGAGGCCGACAGGCGUAGGCGAUGGAUAACAGGUUGAUAUUCCUGUACCCGUUGUUUUUGUUUGAGCAAUGGAGGGACGCAGGAGGCUAAGGAAUGCAGACGAUCGGAAAUGUCUGUCCAAGCAGUAAGUCUGAAGAGGAGUCAAAUGCUUCUUUUCUUAAGGACAAGCUGUGAUGGGGAGGGAAAUAAUAGUACCGAAGUUCCUGAUGUCACACUGCCGAGAAAAGCUUCUAGUGAGAAAACAGCGGCCCGUACCGCAAACCGACACAGGUAGUCGAGGAGAGAAUCCUAAGGUGAGCGAGAGAACUCUCGUUAAGGAACUCGGCAAAAUGACCCCGUAACUUCGGGAGAAGGGGUGCUGAUCAUACGAUCAGCCGCAGUGAAUAGGCCCAAGCGACUGUUUAUCAAAAACACAGGCCUCUGCAAAAUCGUAAGAUGAAGUAUAGGGGCUGACGCCUGCCCGGUGCUGGAAGGUUAAGAGGAGUGCUUAGCGCAAGCGAAGGUACGAAUUGAAGCCCCAGUAAACGGCGGCCGUAACUAUAACGGUCCUAAGGUAGCGAAAUUCCUUGUCGGGUAAGUUCCGACCCGCACGAAAGGCGUAACGAUUUGGGCACUGUCUCAACGAGAGACUCGGUGAAAUUUUAGUACCUGUGAAGAUGCAGGUUACCCGCGACAGGACGGAAAGACCCCAUGGAGCUUUACUGUAGUCUGAUAUUGAGUGUCUGUACCGCAUGUACAGGAUAGGUAGGAGCCGUAGAAAUCGGAACGCUAGUUUCGAUGGAGGCGCUGGUGGGAUACUACCCCUGCGUUAUGGCCACUCUAACCCGCACCACUAAUCGUGGUGGGAGACAGUGUCAGAUGGGCAGUUUGACUGGGGCGGUCGCCUCCUAAAAGGUAACGGAGGCGCCCAAAGGUUCCCUCAGAAUGGUUGGAAAUCAUUCGAAGAGUGUAAAGGCAGAAGGGAGCUUGACUGCGAGACCAACAAGUCGAGCAGGGACGAAAGUCGGGCUUAGUGAUCCGGUGGUUCCGCAUGGAAGGGCCAUCGCUCAACGGAUAAAAGCUACCCUGGGGAUAACAGGCUUAUCUCCCCCAAGAGUCCACAUCGACGGGGAGGUUUGGCACCUCGAUGUCGGCUCGUCGCAUCCUGGGGCUGUAGUCGGUCCCAAGGGUUGGGCUGUUCGCCCAUUAAAGCGGCACGCGAGCUGGGUUCAGAACGUCGUGAGACAGUUCGGUCCCUAUCCGUCGCGGGCGUUGGAAAUUUGAGAGGAGCUGUCCUUAGUACGAGAGGACCGGGAUGGACUUACCGCUGGUGUACCAGUUGUUCUGCCAAGGGCAUUGCUGGGUAGCUAUGUAGGGAAGGGAUAAACGCUGAAAGCAUCUAAGUGUGAAGCCCACCUCAAGAUGAGAUUUCCCAUUUCUUUAAGAAAGUAAGAUCCCUGAGAGAUGAUCAGGUAGAUAGGUCAGGAGUGGAAGUACAGUGAUGUAUGGAGCGGACUGAUACUAAUCGAUCGAGGACUUAACCAA